UAGGGAAUUUUCGUCAAUGGGCGCAAGCCUGAACGAGCAAUGCCGCGUGAACGAGGAAGGUCUUCGGAUCGUAAAGUUCUGUUGAAGGGGAAAAAGAGCGGAGAGAGGAAAUGGUCUCCGAUUGAUAUUACCCUUCGAGGAAGUCACGGCUAACUACGUGCCAGCAGCCGCGGUAAUACGUAGGUGGCGAGCGUUAUCCGGAAUGAUUGGGCGUAAAGGGUGCGUAGGCGGCCUGCUAAGUCUGGAGUGAAAGGUACCGGCUCAACCGGUACAGGCUCUGGAAACUGGCGGGCUAGAGAGCAGGAGAGGGCGGUGGAACUCCAUGUGUAGCGGUAAAAUGCGUAGAUAUAUGGAAGAACACCAGUGGCGAAGGCGGCCGCCUGGCCUGUUGACUGACGCUGAGGCACGAAAGCGUGGGGAGCAAAUAGG
rnacentral:rRNA from 1 species